rnacentral:tRNA from 1 species
GCCCCGGUGGCCUAAUGGAUAAGGCAUUGGCCUCCUAAGCCAAGGGGUUGUGGGUUCGAGUCCCACCCGGGGGU